GGUCAAGCUACAAAGGGCGCAUGGCGAAUGCCUUGGCACUAGGAGCCGAAGAAGGACGCGUUAAGCUGCGAUAAGCUUUGGGUAGGCGCAAAUAGCCUGUGAUCCAAAGAUUUCCGAAUGGGGGAACCCACAUAGUAACAACUAUGUACUGCAUACUGAAUAAAUAGGUAUGCAGAGGUAGACCCGGGGAACUGAAACAUCUAAGUACCCGGAGGAAGAGAAAGAAACAUCGAUUUCCUAAGUAGCGGCGAGCGAAAGGGAAAGAGCCCAAACCCAGGUCUUUGAUCUGGGGGUUGAGGAUAGAUCAUAAAUACUGCAAUUCCUUAAUUGAAGAUAGCUGGAAAGCUGCUCCGCAGAAGGUAAUAGGCCUGUAAAUGAAAAGGAAAAACAGUCAGAUCUAAUCCAGAGUACCACGAGACACGUGAAACCUUGUGGGAAGCUGGGAGGACCACCUCCCAAGGCUAAAUACUACCUAGUGACCGAUAGUGAAGAAGUACCGUGAGGGAAAGGUGAAAAGAACCCCGGAAGGGGAGUGAAAUAGAACCUGAAACCGUGUGCCUACAACCGGUCGAAGCACUUUAUAUGUGUGACGGCGUGCUUUUUGUAGAACGAGCCAACGAGUUACGAUAUGUAGCAAGGUUAAGUACUUAAGGUACGGAGCCGAAGGGAAACCAAGUCUGAAUAGGGCGCAUAGUUGCAUGUCGUAGACCCGAAACCGGGUGACCUAUCCAUGGCCAGGAUGAAGCGGAAGUAAAAUUCCGUGGAGGUCCGAACCACGUUGGUGUUGAAAAACCAUGGGAUGAGCUGUGGAUAGCGGAGAAAUUCCAAUCGAACUCGGAGAUAGCUGGUUCUCCUCGAAAUAGCUUUAGGGCUAGCGUCGAUUAAUUGAGUAAUGGAGGUAGAGCACUGAAUGGGCUAGGGGCUGACAACAGUUACUGAACCCUAUCAAACUCCGAAUGCCAUAUACUUUUAUUUCGGCAGUCAGACUGCGAAUGAUAAGAUCCGUAGUCAAAAGGGAAACAGCCCAGACCAUCAGCUAAGGUCCCAAAGUGUAAGUUAAGUGGAAAAGGAUGUGGGAUUUCUAAGACAACUAGGAUGUUGGCUCAGAAGCAGCCACUCAUUUAAAGAGUGCGUAAUAGCUCACUAGUCAAGAGAUCCUGCGCCGAAGAUGUCCGGGGCUAAAACUUACCACCGAAGCUAUGGGUGUACACAAUUGUGUACGCGGUAGAGGAGCUUUCUGUACUGGCUGAAGUCAUACCGUAAGGAGUGGUGGACGGUACAGAAGUGAGAAUGUUGGCAUGAGUAGCGAGAGUUAAGUGAGAAUCUUAACGGUCGAAAACCUAAGGUUUCCUGAGGAAGGCUCGUCCUCUCAGGGUUAGUCGGGACCUAAGCCGAGGCCGAAAGGCGUAGGUGAUGGACAAUCGGUUGAUAUUCCGAUACCACCAAUGGACGUUAUUAGAAAUGGGAUGACGCAGGAGGAUAAGAUGUGCACACUAUUGGAUGUGUGUCUAAGCAUUUAGGCGGAGCA
rnacentral:rRNA from 1 species